UACGGAGGGGGCUAGCGUUGUUCGGAAUUACUGGGCGUAAAGCGCACGUAGGCGGCUUUGUAAGUUAGAGGUGAAAGCCCAGGGCUUAACCCUGGAAUUGCCUUUAAGACUGCAUCGCUAGAAUUGUGGAGAGGUAAGUGGAAUUCCGAGUGUAGAGGUGAAAUUCGUAGAUAUCGAGAGGAACACCGGUGGUGAAGGCGGCCUUCUGGACAGUGACUGACGCUGAGACGCGAAAGCGUGGGGAGCAAACAGG
rnacentral:rRNA from 1 species